AUUGAACGCUGGCGGCAGGCCUAACACAUGCAAGUCGAACGGUAACAGGAAACAGCUUGCUGUUUCGCUGACGAGUGGCGGACGGGUGAGUAAUGUCUGGGAAACUGCCUGAUGGAGGGGGAUAACUACUGGAAACGGUAGCUAAUACCGCAUAACGUCGCAAGACCAAAGAGGGGGACCUUCGGGCCUCUUGCCAUCGGAUGUGCCCAGAUGGGAUUAGCUAGUAGGUGGGGUAACGGAUCACCUAGGCGACGAUCCCUAGCUGGUCUGAGAGGAUGACCAGCCACACUGGAACUGAGACACGGUCCAGACUCCUACGGGAGGCAGCAGUGGGGAAUAUUGCACAAUGGGCGCAAGCCUGAUGCAGCCAUGCCGCGUGUAUGAAGAAGGCCUUCGGGUUGUAAAGUACUUUCAGCGGGGAUGAAGGGAGUAAAGUUAAUACCUUUGCUCAUUGACGUUACCCGCAGAAGAAGCACCGGCUAACUCCGCG
rnacentral:rRNA from 1 species